rnacentral:misc_RNA from 1 species
AUAUGAUAAUAAUUCAAUCCAUUGAAGGAAAGAAAUUUACAUUCUAUAGACACGAGUAAAAAGGUAUUUUCGCAGACCGAAGUCCACUCGAGCCUCACGGCUCUAAAUAGUUCACAGGUGAGUGAGAGAGAAUGAGAGUGCACCUGCAUGCCAGCACAUCUCAAAGCAAUCGUUAAUGAUCCUUCCGCAGGUUCACCUACGGAAA